rnacentral:rRNA from 1 species
UACGAAGGGUGCAAGCGUUAAUCGGAAUUACUGGGCGUAAAGCGCGCGUAGGUGGUUUGAUAAGUUGAUGGUAAAGCCCUGGGCUCAACCUGGGAACUGCAUCCAAAACUGUUUGACUAGAGUACGGUAGAGGGUGGUGGAAUUUCCUGUGUAGCGGUGAAAUGCGUAGAUAUAGGAAGGAACACCAGUGGCGAAGGCGACCACCUGGACUGAUACUGACACUGAGGUGCGAAAGCGUGGGGAGCAAACAGG